UGCAAGUCGAACGAUGAACCACUUCGGUGGGGAUUAGUGGCGAACGGGUGCCUAACACGUGGGCAAUCUGCCCUUCACUCUGGGACAAGCCCUGGAAACGGGGUCUAAUACCGGAUACAACCACCGGCCGCAUGGUCUGGUGGUGGAAAGCUCCGGCGGUGAAGGAUGAGCCCGCGGCCUAUCAGCUUGUUGGUGAGGUAACGGCUCACCAAGGCGACGACGGGUAGCCGGCCUGAGAGGGCGACCGGCCACACUGGGACUGAGACACGGCCCAGACUCCUACGGGAGGCAGCAGUGGGGAAUAUUGCACAAUGGGCGAAAGCCUGAUGCAGCGACGCCGCGUGAGGGAUGACGGCCUUCGGGUUGUAAACCUCUUUCAGCAGGGAAGAAGCGAAAGUGACGGUACCUGCAGAAGAAGCGCCGGCUAACUACGUGCCAGCAGCCGCGGUAAUACGUAGGGCGCGAGCGUUGUCCGGAAUUAUUGGGCGUAAAGAGCUCGUAGGCGGUCUGUCGCGUCGGAUGUGAAAGCCCGGGGCUUAACCCCGGGUCUGCAUUCGAUACGGGCAGACUAGAGUGUGGUAGGGGAGAUCGGAAUUCCUGGUGUAGCGGUGAAAUGCGCAGAUAUCAGGAGGAACACCGGUGGCGAAGGCGGAUCUCUGGGCCAUUACUGACGCUGAGGAGCGAAAGCGUGGGGAGCGAACAGGAUUAGAUACCCUGGUAGUCCACGCCGUAAACGGUGGGAACUAGGUGUUGGCGACAUUCCACGUCGUCGGUGCCGCAGCUAACGCAUUAAGUUCCCCGCCUGGGGAGUACGGCCGCAAGGCUAAAACUCAAAGGAAUUGAC
rnacentral:rRNA from 1 species